GAAAUGCGAUAAGUAAUGUGAAUUGCAGAAUUCCGUGAAUCAUCGAAUCUUUGAACGCACAUUGCGCCCUCUGGUAUUCCGGGGGGCAUGCCUGUCCGAGCGUCAUUGCAAACCCUCAAGCCCGGCUUGCGUGAUGGGCAACCGCGUCUGUCCCCCAGGGGCAGACGGGCCCGAAAUGCAGUGGCGGCGUCGCGGUAAUCCGAUCAGCCAGAGCGUAUGGGGACAUCUCGUCACACGCUCCAGGUGCGGACCGGCGCUCGCCAGAGACCAUCUCACACCAAGGUUUGACCUCGGAUCAGGUAGGGAUACCCGCUGAACUUAA
rnacentral:misc_RNA from 1 species